AUUGAACGCUGGCGGCAUGCUUUACACAUGCAAGUCGAACGGUAACAGGCCGCAAGGUGCUGACGAGUGGCAAACGGGUGAGUAAUGUAUCGGAACGUGCCCAGUCGUGGGGGAUAACGCAGCGAAAGCUGCGCUAAUACCGCAUACGAUCUAUGGAUGAAAGCGGGGGACCGUAAGGCCUCGCGCGAUUGGAGCGGCCGAUAUCAGAUUAGGUAGUUGGUGGGGUAAAGGCUCACCAAGCCAACGAUCUGUAGCUGGUCUGAGAGGACGACCAGCCACACCGGGACUGAGACACGGCCCAGACUCCUACGGGAGGCAGCAGUGGGGAAUUUUGGACAAUGGGCGCAAGCCUGAUCCAGCAAUGCCGCGUGCAGGAAGAAGGCCUUCGGGUUGUAAACUGCUUUUGUACGGAACGAAACGGUCCUGGUUAAUACCUGGGGCUAAUGACGGUACCGUAAGAAUAAGCACCGGCUAACUACGUGCCAGCAGCCGCAGUAACAC
rnacentral:rRNA from 1 species